GUGUUUGCUUCCGCAGUACGUAUACUAAAAUUGAAGUAAUACAGAGAAGCUAACAUGGUCCCUGUGUAGACAGACAUACAGGCUCAUGACGUGUUCCAUAUUUUU